ACAAAGAAUGAGAUCAUGUCUUUUGAAGGAACUGGGAUGGAGCUGGAGGCCGAGAUGGAGCUGGAGGCCAUUAUCCUUAGCAAACUAAUGCAGGAGCAGAAAACCAAACACAGCACGUUCUCACAACUGGGAGCUAGAUGAUGAGAACACAUGGACACAAAGAAGGGAACAACAGACAGUGGGGCCUCCCUGAGGGACGAGGGAAUGGAGCAGAAAAAAUAACUACUGGGUACUAGGCUUAGUACCUGGGGGACAAUAAUCUGUACGACAAACUUCCGUGAUACGAGUUUACCUAUAUCACAAACCUGCACAUGUACCCCUGAACUUAAAAUAACAGUUUUUUUAAACAAAACAAAAAGAAAUUAAGGUGUAUCUGUGGUGUCAGGUUGUUUUACUAACCUCUUCCCCAUCAGUAAGCCAUAUGUUCAGAGAUGGGUUUUUAGUAGAGAAUCUCUCAUGGGUUCCUUGUUCUGAACAAAAACACAUUUUUGAUAUGGCUGACUAAUGCUGGGAAACAGAACAUAACUGAGACAUACUAGUAGGCCUCUCCAAAACCUAAAACCAUUUUCUCAGUCAAAAAUGUUCAGAAUAGCAUAAAACCAAAAUUCCUUCCAGGUCUCACCAUAGUAAUCCAAGUGAAUAUGUAGUGAUUUGCAGAGAUAUUUGUUUGGCAAAUAUGAAAAGCAUGCCUCUCACAGCAAAGCUCUUUUGUUAGUAAAGUAUCAUUAAAAAUAUAGAGUGUAAUCCUGAGAUCAUGCUCUAUUUAAUCUUCAAAAUAUAUUUAGUAAUUUAAAAAAAGAGCUUGAAAAUAUAAAGUGCUCAUAUUUUACUCAAGGAUUUACAGCCUAUAUAUAACUUUUUUUUUUAAAUACUCAUGCAAAAAGCCUGUAACAUUUUUGUAAAGAGAAUGAGGGUUACUUACAUUACACAUAUAAUUGUGCCAAGACCUCGUAACCUGAGGCAACUUCUCUUUUCUUUUCCAGUUUGCUGGAGAUCCUUCACGAACAGCUUCCUGAGAGUACCAAGAGAUGCUAGGUUAAUGGAGUUCAUUUCAUAGGGGUGGGGGAGCUAAAGGUAGAUGGUACCUACAUAACCAGCCCUCUGUAAAAUCCUUGGGUACUGAGUUUCAGAGUUCUCCUGGAAGAUAACACAGGUUGUAACUUGUUGAUGGAGGGAUUAAGCAGAUCCUGUGUGACUCCACUGUGAGAAAACUCUCCGAAGCUUGCAUCUGGACUUUAUCAUCCCCUGUCCCUUUUCCCUUUGUCGAUUUUGUUUUGAAUCUGAAUCUUCAGUACAAUAAAUCUUAGCUGUGAAUACAACCA